rnacentral:rRNA from 1 species
AGUAACGGCGAGUGAAGCGGCAAAAGCUCAAAUUUGGAAUCUGGCGCCUUCGGCGUCCGAGUUGUAAUUUGAAGACUCUAUCUUGGAAUGCGGCGCUGUUGAAGUUCCUUGGAACAGGACGUCACAGAGGGUGAGAAUCCCGUGCGAUGGCAGCCGCGGACCGUGUAAGUUAGUGUCGACGAGUCGAGUUGUUUGGGAAUGCAGCUCUAAGUGGGUGGUAAACUCCAUCUAAAGCUAAAUAUUGGCGAGAGACCGAUAGCGAACAAGUACAGUGAUGGAAAGAUGAAAAGAACUUUGAAAAGAGAGUGAAAAAGUACGUGAAAUUGUUGAAAGGGAAGGGCUUGAGAUCAGACAUGCCUUCGGGCAGGCCAGCAUCAGCUGGAAGGGGCAGACAAGGGCGCCGCAAUGUGGCCUGGCUUCGGCGAGGUGUUAUAGGCGGCGUCGAUGUGUCCACUUCCGGCUGAGGACCGCGCUUCGGCAAGGAUGCUGGCGUAAUGAUCCCCAGCCGCCCGUCUUGAAACACGGACCAAGGAGUCUAACGUCUAUGCGAGUGUUUG